CGUCUCUCUCCUCUCAUUCUUACCCUUUGUCUGGUUUCAUUCACCCUCAUUAUUCUCUCUCCUGAAAUCCUCCCCAUUUCCUCCAUCCAUAACAAAUUGAUUUCAUGCAUGGAUUCAAUCAAUGUCUCUUCAUUUGAAUGGAAUGAUUAAUAUUCUGGUCUAGAGGGAAAGCUUUAGUUCCUACUAAUUUGAAUAUGGAUGUUCCUCGAUCAAGGCCCUAUGCUCGAGUUGCGAUCGGUACUAGCAUGAAAACACUCCAUUGAUGUGGGAACAGGAGUGAUAGAUGCAUAGACGACCAGUUGAGGUUAUUCUGUUUAAUCACUUUGAUCGUAUUGCUGAGUUGAUAAUUGAGAAGAUCAUAACUACAUAUCUUUUCGCGGUCAAAGAUGGGCUCGAAGGGAAUUCACUACACUGUAUGACUAGGAAAAAAUAACUUGGCACCAAUUUUGUUAUGAUCUUAAUGGAAAUCUCAUGAUAAAUUAUGUAUAGUUAUUUUGACAUAAGUCACAAGGGGGCAAGGUGGGGUGAGGAGAAAGAGAUCUUGGAGUGCAGUAUGCCUAUUCAUCUCCAGGUAGGAGGUUAGGUAUGAAACCCAUGGGUUUGGGAUGAGGUCAUACCUUAAUUCAUGUGCUUGGUUGCUUAUAAAUAAAACUUAAUUUUAUUAUUUUGACAGGAAAAUUAUUAUUUUUCUUUUAAAGAGAAUUAUUUAUACUCUGUCUAAACCUAUACCAUACCCAUACCCAGUGAACCAAACGCUUAAUGCGUUGAAGGAAUAAGCCAUAUUGUCAUAUUUCUACUUUAACAUGACCAGGUGAUCAUAGAGAAAAUUUCACAGUGGAGGCCACAAUAAAACUGUUUUCUAUAGUAUAAUUCACUACCUUAUAUACUUAGGCUAUUUCUGAACUCUUGUUUUCUGUUUUUUUAUUUCCUUGACCCGUGUUUUAGUGGUUUCGAGAUAUGGUGUGUUGAGAAUCUCAGCUUGGUUCCAGUACCGAAGUCAUCUCAUGGGAAACUUCUUUUAUAUUUGAUUUUAAAUACAAUAUUGCUGAAAGAUGGAAUGCUUGAACAUGAUGUACAUUAUUGGCUUGGAAAGGAUGCAAAUGAGGUGGAGUCGCUAAUGGUCUCAGAUAAAGCGCUUGAAUUAGAUUUGGCCUUAGGAUCUUGCACUAUGCAAUACCGGGAAAAACAAGGUCAAGAGUCAGCAAAGUUUUUGUCAUACUUUAAACCUUGUGUUAUUCCAUGUGAAGGAGUAUAUACAUCAGGACUAGAGAGGUCAAAUAGAGGCACAUACCAUAUUACCUUGUUAGCAUGAAAUGGCGAACAUGCCAUUUUGGUUAAGGAGGUAAGACUUCCUGAGCUAUUAACACUUAAUUGACAAUAAAGUGGCUGACUGAAGAUACAUGUUGUUUGACAUGAGACCUGGUGGUGGUGGGGGGGGGGGGGGGGGUACCUCAUGAGGACACACUUUGAGGGGGUGUUUGGUUCGCGGUUUCUAAUGGUCUAAACCCAUGUCAUGUGUUUGGUUGGAAAUUUUAAGAGUUUUAAACCAUACCUCAAACCCCAAGGUAUGGGGUUUAGAAAUCUAGGGGGGUGGGUGGGUAUGGCUCAUACCUUUACUCAAAGGUAUCAAACAAAAGGAAAAAACACAUCCCCAAAUCGGAACAAACACAUGGUAUUAAGAAUCAAGUUCCAAACCCAUACCACCUUGAUAUCAUUCUUGAUUCCAACCUCAUACCAGUUUGCGAACCAAACGCCCCAUAUUCGGGAAAUGUUUGAUGUGAUGGACAAAGUCCUAAACAAACACUACCAGGUAAGGAUUACUGUAUCUUUUGUGAUAUGUGAGAUGUUGCAUUCCACCAGUUACAUCAGGGGUUGUUCAUCAUCUGAAACUGGUAAUACAUGUAGGUAAUGCAAGUACAACUAGCACGCACCUUAAAAUUUUAAGCUAUUUAUUGUUUGUCCUGUGAUGCUGGAAUCAAUCAUUCUAACCAGUAGUGACAACCAAGAUAUUUUGCAAUAUAAGGUUUACUAUAAUUUUUUAAACCUUUCCAAUUUGUUAAUUUGAAAACAUAAUUGAUGUUUUCUUUUGUUAUUAGCCCAUAAAUGAUUUCUAUCUUUCUAUGAAGUUUCUAAUCUAAUAUAUAUGUCUGAUGCUGAUCCAAAUGUUGUUUGGGGUUGAAACCCUUACAUACGAAUUAGUUGCUAUUAUAUGUUUUCAAGUCUGUAUUUUCGUAAUUCAUUUUUCCAGGACUUAUAUGGAAAGUAAUGAAAUAUUUAUAAACUAACUUUUUUUUAUUGAUGUUGAAUUGUUGAUACUUGAUAAUGAUUAAAAAGGUUCAGCGUAGAGGAUAUUUACAUGUUUCAAUUUCUUUGAAGAAUAAUUUGCCUACUAUGUAGGCUUUGUUUGUAUUACGGAAAACACUUUGAUGAUUAUAGGUACUUCUGCAUUUCAUUUCUUUGUACAAACAAAUACCAAGGAAAUACAUUUCUAUUUGUCUUCAUUUUCUUUUGCCACAUUGAUGGUAUAUUAUAGAUGCUUCUUAGGCAAAAUAAUUCUUUUUCAUGAAGAUCGUUAAUUUAGGGCCUGGGAGUCAAGGUGGACCUUCGUUAUUGUUUUUCCCUUCAGGUAUGACUAUGUAUUAUGUUGUGAACAUUUAUCCUAAUAGUUGCCAUUGAACAACUUAGUAUUAAAAAAAAAUUUACUUUGGACUUUGGAGAGUUAUACCUGAAACUAUGCACAUAUGAAUCACUGGCUUAUUUUGUUUGUGUGGCUCUAUCACUCUACAUUGAUGUCAUUGAGGUUAUUAGAGGUGGGUUAGUCUGCCAAUUGUGCAAACCUAAAGUACAUGCAAAAUUUACCGUUUCUAUUUCUACUCGUGGAGUCAUUAUGUUUAUAGAACAUGUGUUUAUCACCAUUUAGUGAUUGAAUUGGGACUUGGGACUUGAUAGAGGAUCAUUGGUUUAUGGUACUUUUUUCGGACUACCUCCCUUUUAGGCAAUAGAAUCUCAAGAAUUAAGAGUGAAGUUCCGAACGCUAAUAUAGAUAUUUGGACACUACUAUAGAGACUAAGGAAUGAAGCUUUAAGUGUAAAGAUAGGGGUUGUGGAAAAAGGACCAGUGAAGAACUCCAUCUUGAGGUAAACGUCUUGGUAGACAGACCACAUCAAUAUGCAUAUAAAAGGGAUUAUCAAAGAUCAAAUUGCAUUACAGAGUUUGCUAGAUGCAUACAUCACAUGGAUAGUGCAAAAGAAAAUAUAAUAAGCAUAACAAUGUUACUUGCAAAUGCUCUUAUUUGUGAGUUGUAUGAUUUAAGAAACCUUCAUAAAUAUGAAAUAAAAUUCAUACUUAUUGCUUCAUGUUUUUUGGGCCUCUAUUUGAAUCUAGGAUUAUGAAAUUGACUUUCAUGAUGAACGUCAUCUCUUCAAGGCGUUUUGGUGUCGGCAUGGAAGUAAAUCAUGUCAAUCUAACGCUCAAAAGUGAAUACUUAUGUCUCUGUAAUAUCUGCCAAUGUCAACUUGAUUCCAUUAAUAAAUGGGACCAACUAUAAGGAUUGGAAGGAAAAUGUAAGCAUUGUCCUUGGCUGCAUGGAUCUUGACCUUGCAUUAAGAACGGAUAAAUCUGUUGCUCUUACGGCUGCAAGUACCGCUGAUCAAAAGCGUGACUUUGAGAAGUGGGACCGUUCUAAUCGUAUGUGUCUAAUGAUCAUGAAGCGGGGAAUUCCAGAAUCAUUUAAGGGUCAUCUGUCUGAUGAGGUCACUACCAAAGAGUUACUUGAACAAAUUGAGAAGCGUUUUCUUAAAAACGAUAAGGCGGAAAUAAGUACAACCUUGUUGAACUUAAUUUCCGUAAAGUAUAAAGGUCAAGGGAACAUAAGGGAGUACAUUAUGGAAAUGUCUCAUCUUGCUUCAAAAUUAAAGGCACUAAAGUUAGAGUUGUCAAAUGACUUGCUCGUGCAUAUAAUUUUGAUCUCUCUUCCUACACAGUUUAAUCAGUUCAAGAUAAGUUAUAACUGUCAAAAGGAGAAAUGCUAUCUUAAUGAGCUCAUGUGCAAGAAUAGGAAAGGCUUAAGCAAGAGAAGACUGAAAGUGCUAAUUUGGCCAGUGCCUUUAAAGGCAAACAAAAAGAAAGGAAAAUGGAUAAGGAAGUUGCAAGCGCUCCAGCUCAAAAGAAACACCAACAAAAUAAAUCUGAAGGUGUUGGUUGUUACUUUUGUCAGACUCCUGGACACCUAAAGAAGGAUUGUACCAAAUAUCACGCUUGCCGUGCAAAGAAAGGGUUGCCUAAGCUGCCAAAAGCCAAGUGAUGAUGAAAGAUUCAUUUAUCUGGGCGAUGGAAAAUCAGUUGAGGUUGAAGCAAUAGGGACGUUUAGGUUGUUGUUAAGAACUUGUUUUUAUUUGGAUUUGAAAGAGACUUUCUUUGUACCGUCUUUUAGACGGAAUUUGGUUUUUAUUUAUAUAUUGGACAAAUUCGGAUAA